rnacentral:rRNA from 1 species
GCUGAAAGCAUCUAAGCACGAAACUUGCCCCGAGAUGAGUUCUCCCUGCCCCUUUAAGGGUCCUGAAGGAACGUUGAAGACGCCGACGUUGAUAGGCCGGGUGUGUAAGCGCAGCGAUGCGUUGAGCUAACCGGUACUAAUGAACCGUGAGGCUUAACCUUACAACGCCGAAGGUGUUU